UCUGUGUGAGAGUGAACAACCGUCCAAAUGGCUCAGCAGGGAGUUCUGCUGGACAAGGACCAGUUCUGUUGUUCUGUCUGUCUGGAUCUACUGAAGGAGCCGGUCACUACUGCCUGUGGACACAGUUACUGUAGGAGCUGUAUUGAGGACUACUGGGAUCAGGAUGUUCUGAAAGGGGUCUAUAGCUGUCCACAGUGCAGACAGACCUUCACUCCAAGGCCUAAUCUGACAAAAAGUAACCUAUUGGCUGAGGUGGUGGAGAAACUGAAGAAGACAGGACUCCAGGCUGCUCCCCCUCCUGCUCUGUGCUAUGCUGGACCUGGAGAUGUGGCGUGUGAUUUCUGCACUGGGACCAGAAAGCAGAAAGCUCUCAUGUCCUGUCUGGCGUGUCUGGCCUCUUACUGUGAGACUCACCUACAACCUCACUAUGAUUUUUCUGGUUUCAAGAAGCACAAGCUAGUCAAAGCCACCGCACAACUACAGGAGAAGAUCUGCUCUCAUCAUGACAAACUGCUGGACGUUUACUGUCGUACCGAUCAGCAGUGUAUCUGUUAUCUGUGUACAAUGGAUGAACAUAAAGGCCAUGAUACAGUGUCAGCUGCAGCAGAGAGGACUGAGAAACAGAGGCAGCUGGGGAUGAGUCAGCAGAAGGUCCAGCAGAGAUUCCAGAAGAGAGAGAAGGAGCUGAAGGAGCUCCAACAGGCUGUGGAGUCUCUCAAGGUGAUGAGAACAGCAGUACCCUGAGGUCUCUGUAUUACCCCCCGGUGAGGAGUGACAGGGUGAAGGAGGGCCAGCUGUGCUGUGGAGAACACUGACUACGGCAGCAUCACCCUGGUCUUCUAGAACCAAGAGGGUGGCCUGCAGGUGGUACCAGGUCAGGGGAGUUCAUCUCUGCUCCCAGCAUCCCUGGGACAGUACUGAUCAACAUAGCUGACCUGAUGCAGAGGUGGACCAGUGAUGUUUUCCUCUCAGUGGUCCAUAGGGUUUUACUGCCCCCUGUUGGAGACUGGAGCACACUGCAGCCCCUGGCUUUCUUUGUGCAGCUGGAGGAUGAGGUCCUCAUCACCUGUUGUGAUGGGUCCAACAAAUAUCCCCAGGUGAAGGCAGGGUCCUAUCUCAUCCAACACGUCAAUGACUUUUGUAGGAGGGAGGGAGCAUUUCCAAUGUUAAGCUAUGGAAUGAACUGUGAAUGUUAUGGUGAAUUUUUAAUACAGAUGUACUUUAAUACAAUAAUUCCUUGAAUGUAAUUAGUUUGUGUAUUGUAAUUAUGUUAUUGAGACAGAAUAAGUCAGUAAUGAGAGAAUAAAUAAGUCCAGUCCAACCAUUACCUCUCUCCUCUUUCACAUCCCUCUAUCAUCUCUCCAUGGGGGAGUACAACCAUUACCUCUCUCCUCUUUCACAUCCCUCUAUCAUC